AUGGCUGACCAGCAAAGGAUGAGAGAGUACAUGAACGAAUUACAGCGCAUGAAGGCACGAGUUAGCGAACGCCCUUAUUUGUUCGAGCAGGUGAAACAGAGAAAUGCAAAGGCCCUUGCAGAGCAGACGUACAGGAGCCAGCUGAAGAAAGCUGGGUUGAAGGAGCGAUUUGUUGAAGAAAAAGGUGCAGCACUUGAAGGAACAUCAGUCUCGUUCAGUUCCGAGGAGGACUCCGACGUACAUGACCACAGACAUGGAGAUGACAUUCGUAGCAGGGAAGAAAAUGUAGACGACGGUGAGAAAAUUGAAGAUGUGGAAGAGGAGAGCGUGAAGUCCAAGAGGGAAGAAAUGCCAUGA
rnacentral:lncRNA from 1 species